rnacentral:rRNA from 1 species
CACAGAGGUCCCAAGCGUUGUUCGGAUUCAUUGGGCGUAAAGGGUGCGUAGGCGGCGGGGCAAGUCGGAUGUGAAAUCUCAGGGCUCAACCCUGAAACUGCAUUCGAUACUGCCUUGCUCGAGGACUGGAGAGGAGAUUGGAAUUCACGGUGUAGCAGUGAAAUGCGUAGAUAUCGUGAGGAAGACCAGUGGCGAAGGCGGAUCUCUGGACAGUUCCUGACGCUGAGGCACGAAGGCCAGGGGAGCAAGCGGG